rnacentral:rRNA from 1 species
AACGAACGCUGGCUGCAGGCUUAACACAUGCAAGUCGAACGCAUCCUUCGGGGUGAGUGGCAGACGGGGGAGUAACGCGUGGGAACGUGCCCUUCAGUUCGGGAUAACCCAGGGAAACUUGGGCUAAUACCGGUGCCUGGCGAGAGCAGAAAGAUUUAUCGUUGAAGGAACGGCCCGCGUUUGAUUAGCUAGUUGGUGGGGUAAUGGCCCACCAAGGAGACGAUCAGUAGCUGGUCUGAGAGGAUGAUCAGCCAAAUUGGGACUGAGACACGGCCCAAACUCCUAAUGGAGGCAGCAGUGAGGAAUAUUUGACGAUGGGCGCAAGCCUGAUCCAGCCAUGCCGCGUGAGUGAUGAAGGCCUUAGGGUUGUAAAGCUCUUUCGUCCGGGACGAUAAUGACGGUACCGGAAGAAGAAGCCCCGGCUAACUUCGUGCCAGCAGCCGCGGUAA